AGAGUUUGAUCCUGGCUCAGGAUGAACGCUAGCGGCAGGCUUAAUACAUGCAAGUCGAGGGGCAGCAGCUUUAUAGCAAUAUAGAGGCUGGCGACCGGCAAACGGGUGCGUAACACG
rnacentral:rRNA from 1 species